CCCUAGGAUAUAAUGUUACACAUGAGGGCAGCCUGAAAUGAUGAUUUGGAAUCAGAAAAUCUAUGUUUGAGGGCUGGCUCUACCACUUAGCUGGCAAAUUUGGGCUGUCCCACGAAUCCCCACACAGAGGAUUUUCCUUCUUAAAGGUCUGGAAACGCUAGAUGCCAAGUGUGGCUGUGGACAUCCAGAGGAUGUCCAGGUAGACAGAGAGCUCUAAAUCUACGGAAGAAGCAAGGGCUGAACCCACAGACCUAGGGGUCCCCAGGGUCAGAUGGGGGUGGAAGCCCUAGAAGGGGAAGCUUGUAUGUUGGCCUCUGUGGACAUAUAUGGACUCCUCAGUUGCUGAAAGUUGCCUUGAUUGAUUUUCGUCAUGAGUCUUUGAAUUCAGCCUAUGGUGAUGGAAAGAGAGAUGUCAAUAAUUCCACAUUUUCUGGCUUGCAUUGUUUGAUAAAAGGCGUCCCCAUUCCCUGAGUUAGGGAAUGCUGAAAGAAGACCAGGCUUGAGGAGGAAGUAUCAUGCAUUUGCUUUUGGACCUGUAGAGUUCGAGGUAAUUGUAAGAUAUCCCAGUCGGCAUGUCAGGUAAGCAAUUGGAUGAACACUCUGGAGCUCAGAGAAGGGAUCUAGAUUGGUAGUAUAGUAAGUAUAAUGAAACAGGUACAUUUAGG
rnacentral:lncRNA from 1 species